UUCGUCGUUUCAAACUAGACUUACUCUCUUUGCCAAUAUUUUAUUCUGUGUAGCAGUCAUUAAUGCCAGAGCGCUGUUAUUAUGGCGAAAGAGAAAAGCUGACAGGAUGACAGUGUCGCUCUGUUUUAGCCUUUAGAUCCGUCAGCAUGUAACUUAAAGUGACAGGCAAAGCUGACUGCAAAAAUCAAAGCCUUCUUUAGCUUCCACAUUUUUCAAAUUGCACUAUUUGAGUGGCUUAGAGAAACUUCAAAGCGUCAGAGAAGAGGAUUUUUUUUAAUUUCAGAUAAGGCCCCUGAGCUGAAUGUGAACUGCUGGGAGUGUAGAAGCUCACAUCCUAAUCAAUGUGACCAGCUGAAUUCAAGACCGAGGAGCUCAUCUUUUUUGCCCGGUUUCAGAAAUGUGCUUGAUGAGACUCUAACCAGAAUCAAUCAUGAGUCUGGAUUCCAAGGCUGAGGGCUGGCUGCUAUCCCCUCCAGUUAGCUUCCGAGUCAGUAGCGAAAUGCUCUUGAAAGUACUGUUGGUCAGCACUCCAAAUCAGGAGGGUGGAAUUAAAAAGGUUGCUAUGGAGAAGAAGGAUUUCCUCAGCUCUUCGGCCUAUCACUGAAGCUGCUCUUCUGCCUGGAGAUGGCGCUUUGCAUUGAUGCUGUGGCUUGUCCGUCAAGGACCAAAGCUUGUUCAACGUCUUCCUUUGUGCCACAGAUUUCAGGCUGUCCAUAUCUGUCCCUAUGACAGCCUUUCUGCCUUAGUAAUUUGUCCAGGCGAGAAGUGUCGCUUGCCUUGACACACCACCGUCAUUCCACAAUACAAAGGUAUACAUGAGGGCGCUCGUCAGCAUUGAUCCCUUGAACAUCUGCAGUAUUUUUUUCAGAUGUAAUUGGUCAAGCUCAUCCGAAUUAGAAUCAAGUCAUCUUCAGUGACGUCCAAUAAUUGGGCCCUUGAUGACUUUAAUCAAGAAGGUGAUUUGCCUUACAAGUACAAUAAGUGUGUACUGGACUUUGCUCACCUAAAAUAACUACAAUAAUAAUAAUAAUUCCUUAACAUUUGCAAACAAAGUUCUAGUACUACAUUGAACAAGAAGAUGCAUUAUUUAACCAUGGUUACGCCUGCCAAGCGUGACUGCUGAGAUCAUUCCUGUCAUUCCUCCCAUGUUAUCCAACCAAGAUCUAAAUGAUAAGACUCUGAUUUAAAGAUCGUUUGUAUUCUGACUGUUUUCGAGCCAAUAUAUACAGCUAACUAUACAGUGUUGCGUUAUACUCGCCCACCAUAAAGCUAAUCAAAACUUGUUUCGGAACAUACAAUACUGUACUGGUACUUCUUUGAGACGAUGUUCAGACAACUUAGAUUCACUUUCCCCGGAAGCACUUCUUUCUCAUUCCUUCUUGAGUCAUUGGAGUCACUCCUGUCAGGUUUGUCUCGAUUUCUUGAAUUUUAAUCCCUACCUACACUGGAAUCACUCUUUUGACCCACUUACUAAUCUUCUCGGUGUGAUGGCGCUCACUACUUUGAACUGUCCAAUUUCUUUCAUCCUGUGCUGGCACACUCUGCUCUUCAUUACUUUCGGUAAUCAUCAGAAAGUUUACAUUUCCAGUUUCUGUUCUAACCCCUUGCCAUUUGUGUCUCCAAUCUUUUUUUUUUUUGUUUUUUGUUUUUCUUCCAAAAAAUGUGUCAGACAACUACAUUGAUUACAUUGUUUUACUCUCAUCAUAAAUUCCUAAGCGUCUUGAUCUCUGUCCUGCAAUUGUCGUCCGGCUUCUGAAUUUCUUUGCCCUCAUCUGAAAAAUUCUGCUUUUUUCCCCCCCACUUAUUCUCCUCUUCCCCUUGGCAUACGUACAUGGUGUAAUCACUUUCACAACAAACCAAAUCUCCCCACACUGGUCUAUUUACAAUGCAUCUGUGAUUCCCCGUCUGUGUGUUCUUCAGUCCGGGUUUUCCUAUUUUUGGUAACUCUCAUUUCUGACUACCACAUGAAAUACUAUACAUCUCCUGUUCAAGAUUAUUAGUUGUUGCAAGAUUUUAACAAUGAAUAUUUGAUAUAAAAAUGUUGCUAAGGGCUUGUUAUUAUACGUUUCCCACCAUGCCUGCUCUUUUUGAUUUCUCGUCCUUCCUUGAAAGAGCAGUGCCACCCAAUGUCAAGCGUUAGCAUGAUUCAAGCCAAGAAGUAGGAUGCGGACCGGAUCUAAUCUUUGCACUUGAAGUGUGUACUCUGCCCAUAUUCAGUCAUGCUGUAUAGCUUUCCCAUGCCCGCAGCGUAACUUGGCGUCUUUGAAGCAAUCAUCACUUAAAAUUGGAACACUCCCUACUACCUUGUAGAGACGCACAGAUAUAGGAAUGCACCAGUUGAUACAAGCUAAGAAUCACAUUAGGAGAAACGCAAGUCCUGAUGCCUCACCAUGAGUUUUGGUCCCGCCCUUAUGAUGAUAUAAAUACGUUCUGAAUCCCUUGCUUCUUUGCACUCUUGACCACUACAGCGAUUGUCUGUAAACUGCGGAUGCCCGAAAUAUCCUGCAAAUAAACUCUUCAAAGGCACUGUUCAUAGAUUCCAGCUUGUAUUUGGAUAACCAACAUUCUCCUCGUCUGAAUUUCAUGAAAGCACAGGGGAAAGGUCACUUUGCCCCAACACACUCUAGCUUGGUUUCUCUUGAGGAGAAAGAAAAUACGAGCUUCAGCACUAUAAAAUCUGAGGGCGCCAGAAUCAUGGAUGUCAUAAUCCCAGCAUGCACGACUCCAAGCUGAAGUUGAAAGUUAACCAGCAAGUGCAGUUUGCCAACAGCUGUUUGUUCAUCUGUUGGCUAAUAACACACAGACAGAAGUAUUAGGCCCCUCAUAGCCAUACCAUUGCAGACCAUUGCAUUUUGUUGGAAUCAGUUUGGCAUUACAGUAUUAGUGUAAAAUAGUGAUAUGAAUUCAGGGGAAGCGCAGGCUUUUCGCUACAGGUUCAUGAGCACGAUUAUUGCGAUGCAUUUACUCA